GAGUGUAUUGUACGAUGCGUUUAAGAUCAUCACAGUCUGGGCUGGACGUAGCGAUGAUGACUCCGUGGACCGUCUCAACUACAGGUACACGACCAUCAUCCUUGUUCUGUUCGCAGUGCUCGUCACUGGAAAACAAUACGUCGGCCACCCAAUUGCAUGCUGGACACCUACUCGCUUUACGGAAGCGCACGUGGAAUACGCGAACAGUCUAUGUUGGAUUAAAAAUACAUACGUUAUUCCAACUAUUGACGCCGAUAUCCCAAAAGAAGAUGCUCUUCGCGAACAGGAGGAAAUUGGCUACUACCAAUGGGUCCCAAUUGCGUUGCUUUGCCAGGCAGCGUUGUUCUAUUUUCCGUGCCUCGUUUGGAGAUUUCUGAACGACAAAAGUGGGAUUAACUUAAAUGGUUUGGUGUCCUCCGUGCAAGAUGUUCACGCCAAUCCGGACAAUAGGGACAAGAUGAUUGAUUUCAUGGUCCGUUGUAUUGAUAGAGGAUUGGCUUCCCGGCAGGACAGACGUAGAGGCCUUUGUUUCAAAAUAAAACACAGACUGGCUCAAAUGAAGCUGUUUUGUGGGCGUCGCCAUGGUAACUACCUGAUGCCUCUUUACUAUGCCAUAAAACUACUGUAUAUAGUUAACUCUAUGGGACAAUUGCUGUUGCUCAAUAUAUUCCUUGGGACAGACUAUACCUUAUACGGCGUCCAGGUUAUCAGGGACCUUUUGAAGGGAUCCGAUUGGACGGCCACUCAGAGAUUCCCAAGGGUCACCCUAUGUGACUUUAAAGUACGAGAAGUUGGGCUUAACGUACACAGAUAUACUGUCCAAUGUGUACUUCCUAUUAAUCUAUUUAAUGAGAAAAUCUAUUUGUUCAUAUGGUUCUGGUUUCUAACCAUUGCCGUUCUGACAUUGUUUAGUUUUCUAACUUGGAUAUGGUUGAUGGUAUUCAGUAGACGUACGAAGUAUAUCAAAUCAUUCUUGAAGUUACUUGGAAUGUACAAUGGGGAACGUGACAAGAAAAUGUUACGAACGUUCGCGGACACAUACCUAAGACAAGACGGGAUAUUUGUGCUGCGUCUGCUCGAGAGGAACACCAGUGACAUCAUACUCUCGGAGAUUAUCGCGGGACUCUGGGAGAAUUACAAAAGAAAUAUACCUCCGUUACCAGAUAUAGAUGCGUCAUCGCCGACACAUGGAGUCGUACGGAAUAGAAACAAAGCUCCUUCUGCGCCGAAGUACAAUCAGCACCGUCCAUCAUGAUACAGAGACUGCAAACGUCGUGCGUAUGGCAGCAUACCGGAAUGAUAAAUCAGGAUCGUAAACGAGGUGAUGCGAGAGACUGUAUCCCCGUGGGAUAUGCGUAGUUUCUCAUCGGACCUCAUUGAGAAUUCCCUCAAUUAGAUACGAUGUCAAGUUAUGGGGUCAUAUACAAUUCACAUGGAAAGGAGAAGAGCUGGUUGAUUGAAUGUAGUGUCCAUGAUAAUGCCGAUAACGUUCAGACAGAAGUUACAAUUCCAAAAGUGAAUGACAGAGUUGGCACUGUAAAGAUGGCGACGAAGCUCCAUCAAACAAUGCCUAAACGUGUAAACAAUGUUUCUCUACCUUACAUGUGCCUGUCUAGGUAUUGUCUAGGUAUUGUCUAGGUAUAAAUGUUAGGAAAUCAUUUUUGAAACAAAAUAUGAGAGCCUGACAAAAUCUGAAUUUUAGAAAAUGUAGAAAUGUAGAUAAUUUCAUUUUGGAAACACAGUUGUAUUCUAAUGAAAUCGAAGAAUGCCCAGAUAAAUGUGCCCCUUUUCGAUGAAAUAGUUAUUGGUACAACUCGUUUAAACGAAAUCAGGAGCUUUGACAUUGUAAAGAGGUGUACGCGACAGAAUUAAGGCAGAAUCUUCAUGUGAUGCAGCUUUAGCUAUACAUCACACGAUACAAGAGAGUACCAAAGAUGAAAUAUUCGGCAGAGGCUGCAUAAGUCGUCCCGAUAGACUUUUACUGUCAGUGUAUAUAGGAAGAUUAUUCAAUGAAUACUAACUUUGAGUAAGGAGUCUCACAUGUUUAUUUACCUAUUGUAGUUAUUCGUUUUGAGCAGAGGCUGGCAGGGACGAAAUGUAAUGUACACCCCUCCGAAAGUAUGGUCAUGUUAACUAACCAUUGGGUUGUAUGAAAAGCCUUGUUUAUCACGGGAUUUUAUUUACCUUAUAAGGGUAUGACUAUGGUGAAUCUUAAUAUCCUUAUAUAUAAACAGGCUUUAAUC
rnacentral:misc_RNA from 1 species